CUCACCCUCUGCAACCACGCAGACGCGCAGGGACCUGCAGGGACAACCCGUGCUUAGUGAGCUCGCGGUCCUGAGCAGCAGGCGGGGAUGCGUGCUCUGUGUGCGAGCGCAGGUGCACUCCGCGGCCGGUUACGGUUCAUAGCGUCUGAUUGGCCACAUUCUGCUUCCAUUUACGUUUUGUACCGUCUGAUUGGCCACAUUCUGCUUCCAUUUGUUUCGUAGCACCUGAUUGGUUACAUUCAACUCGGCCGUCGUUAAUGUUUCGUAGCACCUGAUUGGUCACCCAGCUUCAGCGUUCAGGCCUUGGGAGGCAGCAGGCAGGGGAUUCCUGUCACACAGACAGAUUGUGUUCCCAUCCCCUGGCUCCCAACUCUGGGCACUGGAGGAGUAAACUGAUGAGAUGACUGUAUAUUUCUCUCUGCCUGCCUCUCAAGAACUACCAUGUAUUCUAUUAACUCCUGGCAGACACAAGUGCAGAAAAGAGGUUAGCAUUCCACCUUAAACAGCCAGAAGAGUAUCACUAUCUCAAUCAGGAUUGCUUCACGGUGGAGGGGGAAGAUUUGAGGCAUGACUUUGAACGCCUACAGCUGGCCAUGGAAAUGGGGAGCUGCGUGCAGUGGCCUGGCAGCCAUUUCCACAGAGAAGGACGCCGAGGGUGGGGAGCGAAUGCGUGUGCUCCACAGGACGCCCAGGAGGUGGACGAGAGGCAGCACCAGACAGCUCUGGAAUAGAGAGCAAUUCUACAACUUGGUAUUUACUUGAGAGAAAUGAGAACAUUUGUCCAUAUCAACAGUUGUACACGAACGUUCAGGACUGAGUUGUGCCUUGGCUUCAUGCUGGAACCCAGCCAAGUGUCCAUCAUUAAAUGAAUGAACAAACCGUGGCGUGUGAAUAGGAUGGGAUCCUGCUCAGCCAUCGCAGGACACUGAGCUCCAGAUGCACACGUAACUGCUGACUUCAAACACGUUCUACACGCUACAUUUAGGUGAGCUUCUAGAGUAAGGAAAACGCAUCUGCAGGGGCAUGAAGCCCGUCAGUGAUGCCUGGGCUGCA